GAGGUACUCCCUCCGUUCCGAAUUACUUUUCUUGGAUUUGUCUAGAUACGGAUGUAUCUAGACUCAUUUUAAUGCUAGAUACCUCCGUAUCUAGACAAAUCUAAAACAGGUAAUUCGGAACAGAGGGAGUAUGUG
rfam:Triticum urartu cultivar G1812 contig674795, whole genome shotgun sequence.